UACAGAGGGGGCAAGCGUUGUUCGGAAUUACUGGGCGUAAAGGGCGCGUAGGCGGCCUUCUAAGUCGAACGUGAAAUCCCCGGGCUCAACCCGGGAACUGCGUCCGAUACUGGAAGGCUUGAAUCCGGGAGAGGGAUGCGGAAUUCCAGGUGUAGCGGUGAAAUGCGUAGAUAUCUGGAGGAACACCGGUGGCGAAGGCGGCAUCCUGGACCGGUAUUGACGCUGAGGCGCGAAAGCGUGGGUAGCAAACAGG
rnacentral:rRNA from 1 species